UAGGGAAUCUUCGGCAAUGGGGGCAACCCUGACCGAGCAACGCCGCGUGAGUGAAGAAGGUUUUCGGAUCGUAAAGCUCUGUUGUAAGAGAAGAACGUGUGUGAGAGUGGAAAGUUCACACAGUGACGGUAACUUACCAGAGAGGGACGGCUAACUACGUACCAG
rnacentral:rRNA from 1 species